AAAUAAUGUCAUCUCUGAUUUGCUGAGCUCACAUCUUCAGCAAAAGAUGUCUUAGUAUUUGAUAUAUUCCCAGAUGAAAGUUGGUACAGAUUAUUCUAUUACUGUUGUACUGUUGUCCCAACCCAUUUGAUUGUGCAAAGAAAGCAUUAUGACGACCAGUUCUUUAGUGUAAAAUAUUAUUCAUAAAAUGUUCUAAAUGUAGGAGUGUCAAAAAAGGUUUUUCAGGGAAAGAUGAAGAGAAAGAUUGACCCAGGAGGAUUUCUUAGGCAAGUUUUUAAUACGCAUACAACUGAGAAGGUUAAGGUAUUAACAAAAUAAUCUGAAAAUCCAUGUAGAUCCAGUAACACAAUUGUUACAUAAAAAUAUGUUGCAUUUUAAGUACUCUUAUUUAUCAAGGUAUCUAACACAUUUUACCAUGAUGGGUACUAUUUUAAUCUUACACACAGGCAAAAGUUCAACAUUUGUAGACCCAUUUCUCUGGCUUGUCCAGGUCCCUCUGGAUGGUGCCCUUUCUUUCUUUUGUAUCAACUAUA
rnacentral:lncRNA from 1 species